rnacentral:rRNA from 2 species
UGGGGAAUAUUGCGCAAUGGGGGAAACCCUGACGCAGCAACGCCGCGUGAAGGAUGAAGGUCUUCGGAUUGUAAACUUCUUUGACGAGGGACGAAUAAUGACGGUACCUCGAAAACAAGCCACGGCUAACUACGUGCCAGCAGCCGCGGUAAUACGUAGGUGGCGAGCGUUGUCCGGAUUUACUGGGUGUAAAGGGCGAGUAGGCGGGAUUGCAAGUCAGUAGUGAAAUACCAUGGCUUAACUGUGGGGCUGCUAUUGAAGCUGCGAUUCUUGAGUGAUGGAGAGGCAGGCGGAAUUCCCGGUGUAGCGGUGAAAUGCGUAGAGAUCGAGAGGAACACCAGUGGCGAAGGCGGCCUGCUGGACAUUAACUGACGCUGAUGCGCGAAAGCGUGGGGAGCAAACAGG